AGGUUAAAAUAAUUAAGGGCACACAAAGGAUGCCUAGGUAGUAAGAGCCGAUGAAGGACGUGGUAAGCUGCGAUAAGCCUAGAUAAGUUGCAAUCGAACGUAAGAGUCUAGGAUUUCCGAAUGGAGCAAUCUAUUAAGAUGGAGUCUUAAUACGAAAGAGGGAACCGCGUGAACUGAAACAUCUAAGUAACGCGAGGAAAAGAAAGUAAAAACGAUACCCAAAGUAGCGGCGAGCGAAAUGGGUCAAGCCUAAACCUUAAAUAUGCCAAGGAUACAGCCGUUGUAUUUAAGGGGUUGCGGGACAGAGUGGUGAAGAACUGUAAGAUAUUCAAUAUAGUGUAUCGAUGAAUUAGAAUUGUCUGGAAAGGUGAACCGUAGAAGGUGAAAGUCCUGUAUAAGUAAAUCCUUACACAUAUAACUUUGCUCCCAAGUAACAGGAACACGAGGAAUUCUGUGUGAAUCAGUGAGGACCAUAUCUCAUAAGGCUAAAUACUCU
rnacentral:rRNA from 1 species